UACAGAGGUGGCAAGCGUUGUUCGGAAUUACUGGGCGUAAAGGGCGCGUAGGCGGUCCCGUCAGUCCCUUGUGAAAUCCCCCGGCUCAACUGGGGAACUGCAAGGGAUACAGCGGGGCUUGAGUUCGGGAGAGGGAAGCGGAAUUCCGGGUGUAGCGGUGAAAUGCGUAGAUAUCCGGAGGAACACCGGUGGCGAAGGCGGCUUCCUGGACCGAUACUGACGCUGAGGCGCGAAAGCUAGGGGAGCAAACGGG
rnacentral:rRNA from 2 species